ACCGGUAAGACCGGUAAGACCAACCGCGAAGAGUCCCGAGAACGUUGUUCCGGAUUGUGGCCCUAGUGCAAAGAAGAAGAAAAAUAAAUGUCUCACGAAGAAGAAGAAGCCUGUAUGUAAGUCAAAGCUAAGCCCUAAGCCAAAAACAAAGCGCAAGGCCGGCAAGAAGCGGAAAAAACGCUUAUGCCAUUAAUAUCAACUUUUUUAGACUGGACAUCAAAAUUAUACUAUUGUGUAAGGUGGAAACUUGAAUCCAGUCUGUAGAACCAGUAACAAUUUCCACAUCUCGUGCUAUUCCUAAAUAAUUCUUAACAUGGUUAAGGUCACAACUCUUGAAACUCCAUAUAAUCCUUGCUCCACUCAAAUCCUUUUUAUUCCAAUUCCUUAAAUAAAAUAAGAAGAAGCGAUCCAAAAUACGUAUAUGUACCCAGGUUUGAAUACAUUUUUACGUUAAUGGAUCGAACCAUAAUUAAAUGUGUGGAUCUGUGGUUAUAUUAUCGGUUUUAGUCCUAUGUAAAAAUUAUUACUGUACGAAGCCACUAUUUGGAAACGAAAUUGUCUAUAAGUAAGAAUCUAUCAAAGGCAAUGGAAAAUGAUAAAUUAUUUAGUAGUAUAAAUAUUUGUUUGUAAAUAG